AUUGUGCGCAUGUUAUUGUAUGGGNUCAGACGGUAUUCGGCUCUUAGNUGGCGCACGGGCUGCAGUAACGCGCGGCAGAAUGCUGGGUCAUUGAAUACGGAAAUAACCCCGUGGAAUGGAGUGAUACUAGGGGAAGCCCAGGCUUGUCCCGCAUACUUCCUCCGAGAGAAGAGGGGCUUCAGCUCCCGCUAUCUGAUGAGCCUAUGUCGGAUUAGCUAGAUGAGUGAGGUAUCGGCUCACCAAGGCCACGAUCCGUAUGUGGUCGGAGAGGAUGAUCAACCCCAUCGGGAGUGAGACACGGCCCGAACUCCUACGGGAGGCAGCACUGGGGAAUAUUGGACAAUGGGGGGAACCCUGAUCCAGCCAUGCCGCGUGUGUGAAGAAGGCCCUCUGGUUGUAAAGCACUUUCAGCAAAGGAAGAACGCCUACCGGUUAAUACCCCCUAGGAAAGACAUCACUCGCAGAAUAAGCACCGGCUAACUCCGUGCCAGCAGCCGCGGUAAUACUGAGGGUGCAAGCGUUAAUCGGAAUUACUGGGCGUAAAGCGCGCGUAAGUGGCUUGAUAAGCCGGUUGUGAAAGCCCCGGGCUCUACCUGGGAACGGCAUCCGGAACUGUCUAUCUAGAGUGCACGAGAGGAAGGUAGAAUUCCCGGUGUAUCGGUUAAAUGCGUAGAGAUCCGGAGGAAUACCAGUGGCGUAAGCCGCCUUCUGGACUGACUCUGACACUGAGGUGCGAAAGCGUGUGUUGCAAACAGGAUUAGAUACCCUGGUAUCCCACGCCCUAAACCAUGUCGACCACCCCUUGGGUGCCCUAGCGCAUUUUUGUGGCCGAA
rnacentral:rRNA from 1 species